rnacentral:rRNA from 1 species
GACAGAGGGUGCACACGUUGUUCGGAAUUACUGGGCGUAAAGCGUGUGUAGGCUGUUUCGCAAGUCGGAUGUGAAAGCCCUGGGCUCAACCCAGGAAGUGCAUUCGAAACUGCAAAGCUGGAGUCCUGGAGAGGAAGGCGGAAUUCUCGGUGUAGAGGUGAAAUUCGUAGAUAUCGAGAGGAACACCGGUGGCGAAGGCGGCCUUCUGGACAGUGACUGACGCUGAGACGCGAAAGCGUGGGGAGCAAACAGG